rnacentral:rRNA from 1 species
UGCAAGUCGAGCGGUAACAUUAUCGAAAGCUUGCUUUUGAUGAUGACGAGCGGCGGACGGGUGAGUAAUGCCUGGGAAUAUGCCUUGAUGUGGGGGAUAACCAUUGGAAACGAUGGCUAAUACCGCAUAAUGCCUACGGGCCAAAGAGGGGGAUCUUCGGACCUCUCGCGUCAAGAUUAGCCCAGGUGGGAUUAGCUAGUUGGUGAGGUAAUGGCUCACCAAGGCGACGAUCCCUAGCUGGUCUGAGAGGAUGAUCAGCCACACUGGAACUGAGACACGGUCCAGACUCCUACGGGAGGCAGCAGUGGGGAAUAUUGCACAAUGGGCGCAAGCCUGAUGCAGCCAUGCCGCGUGUGUGAAGAAGGCCUUCGGGUUGUAAAGCACUUUCAGUCGUGAGGAAGGUAGUUGCGUUAAUAGCGUAAUUAUUUGACGUUAGCGACAGAAGAAGCACCGGCUAACUCCGUGCCAGCAGCCGCGGUAAUACGGAGGGUGCGAGCGUUAAUCGGAAUUACUGGGCGUAAAGCGCAUGCAGGUGGUUUGUUAAGUCAGAUGUGAAAGCCCGGGGCUCAACCUCGGAAUUGCAUUUGAAACUGGCAGACUAGAGUACUGUAGAGGGGGGUAGAAUUUCAGGUGUAGCGGUGAAAUGCGUAGAGAUCUGAAGGAAUACCGGUGGCGAAGGCGGCCCCCUGGACAGAUACUGACACUCAGAUGCGAAAGCGUGGGGAGCAAACAGGAUUAGAUACCCUGGUAGUCCACGCCGUAAACGAUGUCUACUUGGGAGGUUGUGGCCUUGAGCCGUGGCUUUCGGAGCUAACGCGUUAAGUAGACCGCCUGGGGAGUACGGUCGCAAGAUUAAAACUCAAAUGAAUUGACGGGGGCCCGCACAAGCGGUGGAGCAUGUGGUUUAAUUCGAUGCAACGCGAAGAACCUUACCUACUCUUGACAUCCAGAGAAGCCAGCGGAGACGCAGGUGUGCCUUCGGGAACUCUGAGACAGGUGCUGCAUGGCUGUCGUCAGCUCGUGUUGUGAAAUGUUGGGUUAAGUCCCGCAACGAGCGCAACCCUUAUCCUUGUUUGCCAGCGAGUAAUGUCGGGAACUCCAGGGAGACUGCCGGUGAUAAACCGGAGGAAGGUGGGGACGACGUCAAGUCAUCAUGGCCCUUACGAGUAGGGCUACACACGUGCUACAAUGGCGCAUACAGAGGGCUGCCAACCAGCGAUGGUGAGCGAAUCCCAAAAAGUGCGUCGUAGUCCGGAUUGGAGUCUGCAACUCGACUCCAUGAAGUCGGAAUCGCUAGUAAUCGUGGAUCAGAAUGCCACGGUGAAUACGUUCCCGGGCCUUGUACACACCGCCCGUCACACCAUGGGAGUGGGCUGCAAAAGAAGUGGGUAGUUUAACCUUCGAGGAGGACGCUC